rnacentral:rRNA from 1 species
CGCUGGCGGCGUGCCUAACACAUGCAAGUCAACGGGGUAAUUCCUUCGGGAGAUUACUUAGUGGCGAACGGGUGAGUAACGCGUGAGAAACCUGCCUUUCAGUGGGGGACAACAGUUGGAAACGACUGCUAAUACCGCAUAAGCGCACAGCAUCGCAUGAUGCAGUGUGAAAAACUCCGGUGGUAUGAGAUGGACCCGCGUCUGAUUAGCUAGUUGUGGGGUAACGGCCUACCAAGGCGACGAUCAGUAGCCGACCUGAGAGGGUGACCGGCCACAUUGGGACUGAGACACGGCCCAAACUCCUACGGGAGGCAGCAGUGGGGAAUAUUGCACAAUGGGGGAAACCCUGAUGCAGCGACGCCGCGUGAGUGAAGAAGUAUUUCGGUAUGUAAAGCUCUAUCAGCAGGGAAGAAAAUGACGGUACCUGACUAAGAAGCCCCGGCUAACUACGUG